rnacentral:rRNA from 1 species
CUUGGUAAGAAUAGCUGCGGGGGUACACCUGGUCCCAUACCGAACCCAGAAGUUAAGCCCGUAAACGCUGAAAGUACUUGGAGGGAAGCCUCCUGGGAGGAUAGGUACUUGCCAAGU